GACGAACGCUGGCGGCGUGCUUAACACAUGCAAGUCGAACGGAAAGGCCCUGCUUUUUUGGGGUGCUCGAGUGGCGAACGGGUGAGUAACACGUGAGUAACCUGCCCUUGACUUUGGUAUAACUUCAGGAAACUGGGGCUACUACCGUAUAGGAGCUCCUGCUGCAUGGUGGGGGUUGGAAAGUUUCGGCGGUUGGGGAUGGACUCGCGGCUUAUCAGCUUGUUGGUGGGGUAGUGGCUUACCAAGGCUUUGACGGGUAGCCGGCCUGAGAGGGUGACCGGCCACAUUGGGACUGAGAGACGGACCAGACUCCUACGGGAGGCAGAAGGGGGGAAUAUUGCACAAUGGGCGGAAGCCUGAUGCAGAAACGCCGCGUGCGGGAUGACGGCCUUCGGGGUGUAAACCGCUGUCGCCUGUGACGAAGCGUGAGUGACGGUAAUGGGUAAAGAAGCACCGGCUAACUACGUG
rnacentral:rRNA from 1 species